UGCAGUCGAGCGAACAGAUAAGGAGCUUGCUCCUUUGACGUUAGCGGCGGACGGGUGAGUAACACGUGGGUAACCUACCUAUAAGACUGGGAUAACUUCGGGAAACCGGAGCUAAUACCGGAUAACAUUUGGAACCGCAUGGUUCUAAAGUGAAAGAUGGUUUUGCUAUCACUUAUAGAUGGACCCGCGCCGUAUUAGCUAGUUGGUAAGGUAACGGCUUACCAAGGCGACGAUACGUAGCCGACCUGAGAGGGUGAUCGGCCACACUGGAACUGAGACACGGUCCAGACUCCUACGGGAGGCAGCAGUAGGGAAUCUUCCGCAAUGGGCGAAAGCCUGACGGAGCAACGCCGCGUGAGUGAUGAAGGGUUUCGGCUCGUAAAACUCUGUUAUUAGGGAAGAACAAAUGUGUAAGUAACUGUGCACGUCUUGACGGUACCUAAUCAGAAAGCCACGGCUAACUACGUGCCAGCAGCCGCGGUAAUACGUAGGUGGCAAGCGUUAUCCGGAAUUAUUGGGCGUAAAGCGCGCGUAGGCGGUUUCUUAAGUCUGAUGUGAAAGCCCACGGCUCAACCGUGGAGGGUCAUUGGAAACUGGGAAACUUGAGUGCAGAAGAGGAAAGUGGAAUUCCAUGUGUAGCGGUGAAAUGCGCAGAGAUAUGGAGGAACACCAGUGGCGAAGGCGACUUUCUGGUCUGUAACUGACGCUGAUGUGCGAAAGCGUGGGGAUCAAACAGGAUUAGAUACCCUGGUAGUCCACGCCGUAAACGAUGAGUGCUAAGUGUUAGGGGGUUUCCGCCCCUUAGUGCUGCAGCUAACGCAUUAAGCACUCCGCCUGGGGAGUACGACCGCAAGGUUGAAACUCAAAGGAAUUGACGGGGACCCGCACAAGCGGUGGAGCAUGUGGUUUAAUUCGAAGCAACGCGAAGAACCUUACCAAAUCUUGACAUCCUUUGAAAACUCUAGAGAUAGAGCCUUCCCCUUCGGGGGACAAAGUGACAGGUGGUGCAUGGUUGUCGUCAGCUCGUGUCGUGAGAUGUUGGGUUAAGUCCCGCAACGAGCGCAACCCUUAAGCUUAGUUGCCAUCAUUAAGUUGGGCACUCUAGGUUGACUGCCGGUGACAAACCGGAGGAAGGUGGGGAUGACGUCAAAUCAUCAUGCCCCUUAUGAUUUGGGCUACACACGUGCUACAAUGGACAAUACAAAGGGCAGCUAAACCGCGAGGUCAUGCAAAUCCCAUAAAGUUGUUCUCAGUUCGGAUUGUAGUCUGCAACUCGACUACAUGAAGCUGGAAUCGCUAGUAAUCGUAGAUCAGCAUGCUACGGUGAAUACGUUCCCGGGUCUUGUACACACCGCCCGUCACACCACGAGAGUUUGUAACACCCGAAGCCGGUGGAGUAACCAUUUAUGGAGC
rnacentral:rRNA from 1 species